UCAGCUGAAAUCUCUGUACAGCUCUGACUGUUGCAGCCUAAAAGACUGCAGGAUUAAGAGACAUUUGGAGACACUGAAGGGACAUGAAAAAAAAAGGCCUCUAACUGAAUUAGAACUUUUUGCGCAAGAAACUAAGUAAAUAAGAAGAGAUCCAAAUAUGCAAGCCUGGGGCUUAGGAGAAAAAAGCCACCAACCAACCAAACCAAAACUAAACUAAACAAAAGACCCCUAACCCUUUCCUGAAUACUCUAAAGGAAAGGAAAACCAGAGGGGAUGAGUGCCCCGUUGGCAUCUUGUGAAUAGGAAAGGAACUGAACAGAAAUGAAUAAGCAGGCUUGAAACUUUCUGUGGAAGUUUAUGUUUUAUUAUUUUUCUUAUAUUUCUUAUUUAUUAUAUUAUGUUAACAAGUCAGCCACCAUGGUAUAAAUAUGAAACAGUGAUGCAAUGACAGUAAUGUAUGAAAAGCCUGGGCAAACUAACUCAGCGUAAAUGUGCUUGGGGCUAGCAGUCAUCUUAAUCUAAAACCUCCCUUUCAGCCUGACAUUGCAGCAGCUCCUAGAAGGGGAACAGAAAGGCCUGUAACAACUAGGAUUAUUUAUAUGUGAUCUAUGAAAAAGCACAAAAUCACUGAGUGAUUAAUAAACAACCAGCAGGAUGGUCAGUAAAAAAGGACAACAGGGACUGGGAGCAACUAGCCCACAUUACAUGGUGACACUUCAGCAUGCAACAGCCUAAAUUGAGGCAGGUGGUCAAUCCACUGUAGUUGAAACUAAGUAGCAGUGAAUAAUGUACUACCUAAGGAGUAGGCAAAGCUAUUAACAAAUACGUGGGACAAGAAAGAUAAUUCAUCAAAUCAAGCAAAGAUGGAUUACAAGAUACUGUUUACCUUAAAAUAAGCUGGGACCAUUAUACUUCUUUACACAAGAUGUCAGAGUGCCAGCAAAAAUCUGGGAAGAGAACACAGGAUUUCCACAGCUGUUUUCUUCUUGUGGAGCAGAGGAAGAUGCACUUGAGAAAAUGAUACUGCAGAAAAGGAUGUGAGUAAUUCUGGUUUCAUAUCUGGUCUGAGUCGGUGUAUCUCAGCUGCCUUUUGAGGGAUGCUCCACACUCUUCCUCUAGAAUAGAUGCAGCCUUGUCAGGCAUAGACCCUGUGCUAUGCAAUGUCAAGCCACCUGCUAAAGCAGGGGGAUCUGAGAGGAAGCAAGCACACCCCAGAGUUUGCGGGUCACCAUGCUGCAUUGGUGUACAGACAGGAUACCCAUGGGCUGCCUGUGAGCAUUUCUGUGGGUGUCACAUGGGCUGCUUGAGAGGCUAACAUCUGCAUGAGGGACAGGUACAACCUGAUUCAGGUUGUGCUCUGGUGUACAGCGGGAGGCUGUUACAACUGCUAAUUUCUGUUGUGCUUCUAUAAAAAUAUAAUAUACUCAAAUAAAAGCAUGGAACUUAG